GGUGGUGUGGAUUGGAUGUCACAAUGUGGAUCGUUUGUUUGAUUCGAUCCACGCCCGCUCGUCUCCGUCGUCAGAUCACGAUGACGGGUCUCAAACUCCCUAUAUAAACACUUCAAGCCCAGGUGCUCCACGACGCUCUAACCAACUGAGCUAAUAGGCCAGUCGGAGCAUCAGCUUCAUGGAUCGAUAGCACUUGAGCAUGAAAACCCCUAAACGGAAACAAAGAUUGGCGGCCCAGCUCAUUCUUGCAAAUCAUGGGCCUGUGGUGAUUGACAAGCUCCAUGCUUCCACGUUUGCAAACUUGAUCGGGAUGCGCCAAGGAAAACGACGACCUCGUGAUGCAGACCAAGCAGCUCGGGAGGUGCCGAUGCUGUGCUGAUGAUGCAGCUGGGCUUGUACUGGUUCAGCCAGAAGACUAACAAGGAGAUCAACUCCGUCGCUCUCUUUCCUCUCUCUCUACCCCCACCGGUGACCCACCGCAGGAAGCUCGUCGAUCGUCUGAGCUCUCACCGGAACAAAGCUCUCACCGGAGCGAAGCUAAACUCUCACGGUGAACCCAGAUCAGAUGAGGAUCUGAUGGAGAAGAAACCAACACACAAGCACAGUGAGAUCAACUACAUCAUCCGUUUCUCUUCCUUUCUCUCUAUAUAUUUUUUUUUUCCAGCUUUGUAAAGAUAGAGACUGAUCGGAAACGAAAGAAAACCCCAUGGCACUGAGCCAAACACCACUGUUGAAACUACGACCUCUGGUCCAAAAGGCCUAUGAGGUCGCCCACAAGAUGUAUCAUGGUCAGGUGCAACCGCAUGAUAAACAUGAUUUGCCAGAAAAGUGAUUUGGUGGCGCCAUGAAUUCCGAGUUUCUCGGAACCCAUGAAGAAGAGCUCUCUGAGUAAGGGUCCGGUACUUUUCCAUGGUGGCCACCGACUUCUCCCUUCACCGAUACAUGCAGAACAAAAACUGUGAAAGGUAGGUGGGAACUGUGAAAGAACUGUGAAAAGUAGGUUGGUGGGAACUAAUGCUUCUGUAGGUACUUAAUUACGACUAUUAUUGCUUUUGCAAUAAUGGUUGGGUGGUCCCCACUUUACUAGAGACAGCGGUCAUGCAUUUCGGUAAGAACAUCAAGGAGAUUAUCAAUGAGGAGUUUGGUGAUGACAUCAUGUCAGCUAUUGAUUUCUUUUGCUCAGUCGACAAAGUUAAAGGCGUGGGGCUUGUCGGCAGCAUUUGAAUAAGGGUGCUGGAGUCCAUGAACGUGGCCGACUUCACUGACAAUAAAUCUCACAUACAAUUUACAAGAGUGAAUCUUUAUCAUUUUGGCUUUAUGCGACAAAGUCACUAAAGGAAACGUGGAAGUUUGAAAAAAAAAAAAAGUCAGAAAAAGGGGCGUUUGUUGAUGAAAAUAAAAUAAAAAAUGAUAAAAGUUAAAAAUGGAUGGGUGGAAGAAGACGUCCAUUAUAACUCCUCUUUUCUUAUAUUAUUAUAUUUUUUUUUAUUUUAUAUUAUUAUAUCUUGAAAAAGUAUAGAUAUAAAAAAAAAAGUUUGAUUUAUUUAGUGCGGUGGAUACCUACGCAUGCAACUUAGUGUUGUGAGGUGAGUGUUGCUAUAAAGUUUUCCUACUCAGUUUUGCAAGUUGCUAGCAAAGGACAGGCAGCCUGGUAAAUCAUGUGGAGUGGGGUCCAGAUACCAUCAAGCCAAUUUAAAAUCCUUUUCGGUGGAGUUCAAAGUAAACCUAUAUGACAGAGUUCGAACAGGAUUCAGUGGGCAUUUUUACUUCAAGUAAGUUUUUCAAUAUAUCAUUUGAAAUCUUUAAAGUAAAUAUUGGUGAAUUAAAAUUUUCAUAAUUUACAUAUCAA